rnacentral:rRNA from 2 species
UGCCCGGUAGCUAAAUGCGGAAGAGAUAAGUGCUGAAAGCAUCUAAGCACGAAACUUGCCCCGAGAUGAGUUCUCCCUGAGACUUAGAGUCUCCUGAAGGAACGUUGAAGACGACGACGUUGAUAGGCCGGGUGUGUAAGCGCAGCGAUGCGUUGAGCUAACCGGUACUAAUGAACCGUGAGGCUUAACCUU